UACAGAGGGUGCAAGCGUUGUUCGGAAUCAUUGGGCGUAAAGAGCGUGUAGGCGGCCCGGUAAGUCCGCUGUGAAAGUCCAGGGCUCAACCCUGGAAUGCCGGUGGAAACUGUCGGGCUAGAGUCCGGAAGAGGCGAGUGGAAUUCCUGGUGUAGCGGUGAAAUGCGCAGAUAUCAGGAGGAACACCAAUGGCGAAGGCAGCUCGCUGGGACGGUACUGACGCUGAGACGCGAAAGCGUGGGGAGCAAACAGG
rnacentral:rRNA from 1 species